GUUACCCUGCUGUGAGCGCUAAUCUGAUUAAGUUUUGACCCAACACUUUUUUAAAAAGGUAAUCGAACUCCAGGUGUGUAAUGCAAGCCUGUGGUACCCGAAAGGGAUGCCUAAAAUUAACAGAAAUGUUAGUUAACUGGAAGCAUGAGGCAUCUGGGUAGAUAUCCACCUGUUUGAGGAUCGGAAUCAAAACUUGAUGUUAGCGACAUAGCAGGGUUGUU
rnacentral:other from 1 species